GUGAAUCAUCGAAUUUUUGAACGCAAAUUGCGCCUUCUUUCGGGAGGUAUGUCUGUUUGAGGGGACCAUUUAACAAAUAAUGUGCGGGUCGCUAUGCGGCGUGCAUAUGUUGAUGAGUUUUUCCGAAAAAACCAGUUUUUUUUUGGUGGCGCAUAAUGUACAGCGUGGGCUUUUUCUUUCGAUUCCCGUGUAGUACGUAAAUUUAGAC
rnacentral:misc_RNA from 1 species